AUGCACCGAAGCUGCGGCAGCGACACUGUGUGUUGUUGGGUAGGGGAGCGUUCUGUAAGCCUGUGAAGGUGUACUGUAAGGCAUGCUGGAGGUAUCAGAAGUGCGAAUGCUGACAUAAGUAACGAUAAAGCGGGUGAAAAGCCCGCUCGCCGGAAGACCAAGGGUUCCUGUCCAACGUUAAUCGGGGCAGGGUGAGUCGACCCCUAAGGCGAGGCCGAAAGGCGUAGUCGAUGGGAAACAGGUUAAUAUUCCUGUACUUGGUGUUACUGCGAAGGGGGGACGGAGAAGGCUAUGUUGGCCGGGCGACGGUUGUCCCGGUUUAAGCGUGUAGGCUGGUUUUCCAGGCAAAUCCGGAAAAUCAAGGCUGAGGCGUGAUGACGAGGCACUACGGUGCUGAAGCAACAAAUGCCCUGCUUCCAGGAAAAGCCUCUAAGCAUCAGGUAACAUCAAAUCGUACCCCAAACCGACACAGGUGGUCAGGUAGAGAAUACCAAGGCGCUUGAGAGAACUCGGGUGAAGGAACUAGGCAAAAUGGUGCCGUAACUUCGGGAGAAGGCACGCUGAUAUGUAGGUGAAGUCCCUCGCGGAUGGAGCUGAAAUCAGUCGAAGAUACCAGCUGGCUGCAACUGUUUAUUAAAAACACAGCACUGUGCAAACACGAAAGUGGACGUAUACGGUGUGACGCCUGCCCGGUGCCGGAAGGUUAAUUGAUGGGGUCAGCGCAAGCGAAGCUCUUGAUCGAAGCCCCGGUAAACGGCGGCCGUAACUAUAACGGUCCUAAGGUAGCGAAAUUCCUUGUCGGGUAAGUUCCGACCUGCACGAAUGGCGUAAUGAUGGCCAGGCUGUCUCCACCCGAGACUCAGUGAAAUUGAACUCGCUGUGAAGAUGCAGUGUACCCGCGGCAAGACGGAAAGACCCCGUGAACCUUUACUAUAGCUUGACACUGAACAUUGAGCCUUGAUGUGUAGGAUAGGUGGGAGGCUUUGAAGUGUGGACGCCAGUCUGCAUGGAGCCGACCUUGAAAUACCACCCUUUAAUGUUUGAUGUUCUAACGUGGACCCGUGAUCCGGGUUGCGGACAGUGUCUGGUGGGUAGUUUGACUGGGGCGGUCUCCUCCUAAAGAGUAACGGAGGAGCACGAAGGUUGGCUAAUCCUGGUCGGACAUCAGGAGGUUAGUGCAAUGGCAUAAGCCAGCUUGACUGCGAGCGUGACGGCGCGAGCAGGUGCGAAAGCAGGUCAUAGUGAUCCGGUGGUUCUGAAUGGAAGGGCCAUCGCUCAACGGAUAAAAGGUACUCCGGGGAUAACAGGCUGAUACCGCCCAAGAGUUCAUAUCGACGGCGGUGUUUGGCACCUCGAUGUCGGCUCAUCACAUCCUGGGGCUGAAGUAGGUCCCAAGGGUAUGGCUGUUCGCCAUUUAAAGUGGUACGCGAGCUGGGUUUAGAACGUCGUGAGACAGUUCGGUCCCUAUCUGCCGUGGGCGCUGGAGAACUGAGGGGGGCUGCUCCUAGUACGAGAGGACCGGAGUGGACGCAUCACUGGUGUUCGGGUUGUCAUGCCAAUGGCACUGCCCGGUAGCUAAAUGCGGAAGAGAUAAGUGCUGAAAGCAUCUAAGCACGAAACUUGCCCCGAGAUGAGUUCUCCCUGACCCUUUAAGGGUCCUGAAGGAACGUUGAAGACGACGACGUUGAUAGGCCGGGUGUGUAAGCGCAGCGAUGCGUUGAGCUAACCGGUACUAAUGAACCGUGAGGCUUAACCUU
rnacentral:rRNA from 1 species